GCCGGGGUGGCGGAAUUGGUAGACGCAAGGGACUUAAAAUCCCUCGGACCUUUGGUCUGUGCCGGUUCGAUCCCGGCCCUCGGCACCA
rnacentral:tRNA from 1 species